rnacentral:lncRNA from 1 species
CGAUCAUACCCUUCGAGAUGGUAAACGAUGAAGCGCGAUGAAGUACAGAUAACUCAGACUGUAGUCUUCGCUCUAAUCCCUCUUUUGCCUGGAUCUCCCUUUCGGGUUUUCAAUCCACCGGGAUACCCAUUUUUGCCUAAGCCGCCCUUGCGGGUUUUCGACUUACCGGGUGUACAAAUUCUUUUCAUUUUUUAUCCCUAACUUUUUCCCGAACCUUUU